rnacentral:rRNA from 1 species
GAUGAACGCUAGCGAUAGGCUUAACACAUGCAAGCCGAGGGGCAGCAUGGUCUUAGCUUGCUAAGACUGAUGGCGACCGGCGCACGGGUGCGUAACGCGUAUGCAACUUGCCUCACAGAGGGGGAUAACCCGUCGAAAGACGGACUAAUACCGCGUACACUCUAUUUUGGGCAUCCAAGGUAGAGGAAAUGAAAUUCGCUGUGAGAUAGGCAUGCGUCCCAUUAGCUAGUUGGUGAGGUAACGGCUCACCAAGGCGACGAUGGGUAGGGGAACUGAGAGGGUGCACCCCCACACUGGUACUGAGACACGGACCAGACUCCUACGGGAGGCAGCAGUGAGGAAUAUUGGUCAAUGGGCGAGAGCCUGAACCAGCCAAGUCGCGUGAAGGAUGACUGUCUUAUGGAUUGUAAACUUCUUUUGUAGGGGAAUAAAGAGGGGCACGUGUGCCCCAGUGAAUGUACCCUACGAAUAAGCAUCGGCUAACUCCGUG